rnacentral:rRNA from 1 species
GACGAACGCUGGCGGCGUGCUUAACACAUGCAAGUCGAACGGAAAGGCCCUUCGGGGUACUCGAGUGGCGAACGGGUGAGUAACACGUGGGUGAUCUGCCCUGCACUUUGGGAUAAGCCUGGGAAACUGGGUCUAAUACCGAAUAGGACCACGCGCCUCAUGGUGUGUGGUGGAAAGCUUUUGCGGUGUGGGAUGGGCCCGCGGCCUAUCAGCUUGUUGGUGGGGUAAUGGCCUACCAAGGCGACGACGGGUAGCCGGCCUGAGAGGGUGACCGGCCACACGGGGACUGAGAUACGGCCAGACUCCUACGGGAGGCAGCAGUGGGGAAUAUUGCACAAUGGGCGCAAGCCUGAUGCAGCGACGCCGCGUGAGGGAUGACGGCCUUCGGGUUGUAAACCUCUUUCAAUAGGGACGAAGCGCAAGUGACGGUACCUAUAGAAGAAGCACCGGCCAACUACGUG